GCCUAAGGAAAGAUAUGAUCAUUCCAGUGUACUGAUUACCACUAGUUCAGGACCACACUUACUAGUGGUGGGUGGAUUACCUACCUAUGAUGUAUGGUUAUUGGACAUUAACAAAAGAAAAUGGAAAGAACUGAUUAAUCUACCAAACAAUGUCACUAACAGAUACUGGCAUUCUCUCUCAGUGUGGAGUGUGACCCCAACUACUAACUGGAUAAUUGAGUUUGGAGGAAAAAGAAACUAUGACACAACAAUAAGUGAUACAGCAGUUAUUGAACUCAGAUAUACUAGUGAUAAUGAUUGGUUUACUAGUGUAAUACCUCUGGACCAGUAUCAAGAUCAACUAAGAAGAAGGAUACUGAGUGAUUGGGAGAAUUUAUAGGAUUAAGCAAAGUGGUGCAAUUACUCAGAGGACACCUACAAGAAAGAGAGAGAGAAUUCUAUGAGGGACAGCUUCAAAGAGAAAUAAAAGAGAAGGAGCAGAUACAGCAAGAUCGAGACAAAGAGCAGCAACAGUUUCUUCAAGAAAAGGCAACACUUAGUCAGCAACUUCAUGAUGCUACCACUCUCCUUGAGCAAGCAGAAAAGGAUAAAUCAACUGUUGAAUUAAAAAAGCUUAAAGUUAAAGUUGCUGAAAU